rnacentral:rRNA from 1 species
CUGAUUAGCUAGUUGGUGGUGUAAUGGACUACCAAGGCGACGAUCAGUAGCUGGUUUGAGAGGAUGAUCAGCCACAAUGGGACUGAGACACGGCCCAUACUCCUACGGGAGGCAGCAGUAGGGAAUUUUGCGCAAUGGGCGAAAGCCUGACGCAGCAACACCGCGUGAAUGUUAAGCCCUUCGUUUUGUAAAGUUCUGUCAAUAGGGACGAAUUUUGACUGUACCUAUAAAGGAAGCACCGGCUAACUCCGUGCCAGCAGCCGCGGUAAUACGGGGGGUGCAAGCGUUGUCCGGAAUCAUUGGGCGUAAAGCGUUCGUAGGCGGCAAGGUAAGUCUGAUGUUAAAGCCCGGGGCUCAACUCCGGUUCGGCAUUGGAUACUAUCUAGCUAGAAUGUGGUAGAGGUAAAGGGAAUUCCUGGUGUAGCGGUGAAAUGCGUAGAUAUCAGGAGGAACAUCGGUGGCGAAAGCGCUUUACUGGACCAUUAUUGACGCUGAGGAACGAAAGCCAGGGGAGCAAAUGGGAUUAGAUACCCCAGUAGUCCUGGCCGUAAACGAU